AUGCACGCUGGCGGCGUGCUUAACACAUGCCAGUCGAACGAUGAAGCCCAGCUUGCUGGGUGGAUUAGUGGCGAACGGGUGAGUAACACGUGAGUAACCUGCCCUUAACUCUGGGAUAAGCCUGGGAAACUGGGUCUAAUACCGGAUAGGAGCGUCCACCGCAUGGUGGGUGUUGGAAAGAUUUAUCGGUUUUGGAUGGACUCGCGGCCUAUCAGCUUGUUGGUGAGGUAAUGGCUCACCAAGGCGACGACGGGUAGCCGGCCUGAGAGGGUGACCGGCCACACUGGGACUGAGACACGGCCCAGACUCCUACGGGAGGCAGCAGUGGGGAAUAUUGCACAAUGGGCGCAAGCCUGAUGCAGCGACGCCGCGUGAGGGAUGACGGCCUUCGGGUUGUAAACCUCUUUCAGUAGGGAAGAAGCGAAAGUGACGGUACCUGCAGAAGAAGCACCGGCUAACUACGUG
rnacentral:rRNA from 1 species